ACGACUCUCGGCAACGGAUAUCUCGGCUCACGCAUCGAUGAAGAACGUAGCAAAAUGCGAUACUUGGUGUGAAUUGCAGAAUCCCGUGAACCAUCGAGUUUUUGAACGCAAGUUGCGCCCGAAGCCAUUCGGCUGAGGGCACGUCUGCCUGGGCGUCA
rnacentral:rRNA from 1 species